UGGGGAAUAUUGGACAAUGGGCGAAAGCCUGAUCCAGCCAUGCCGCGUGUGUGAAGAAGGCCUUCGGGUUGUAAAGCACUUUAAGCGAGGAGGAAUGGCUCUGGGUUAAUACCCUUGAGCAGUGACGUUACUCGCAGAAUAAGCACCGGCUAACUCUGUGCCAGCAGCCGCGGUAAUACAGAGGGUGCAAGCGUUAAUCGGAAUUACUGGGCGUAAAGCGCGCGUAGGCGGUUACGUAAGUUGGAUGUGAAAUCCCCGGGCUCAACCUGGGAAUUGCAUUCAAAACUGCGUGGCUAGAGUGUGGGAGAGGAAGGUAGAAUUCCAGGUGUAGCGGUGAAAUGCGUAGAUAUCUGGAGGAAUACAGAUGGCGAAGGCAGCCUUCUGGCCUAACACUGACGCUGAGGUGCGAAAGCAUGGGGAGCAAACAGGAUUAGAUACCCUAGUAGUCCCUGAGCGGGCUGGCAAGGCGCAU
rnacentral:rRNA from 1 species